rnacentral:rRNA from 1 species
UACGUAGGGGGCAAGCGUUGUCCGGAAUCAUUGGGCGUAAAGCGCGUGUAGGCGGCUUGGUAAGUCCGCUCUGAAAGCCCGGGGCUCAACCCCGGGAGGCGGGUGGAUACUGUCAAGCUCGAGUCCGGAAGAGGCGAGUGGAAUUCCCGGUGUAGCGGUGAAAUGCGCAGAUAUCGGGAGGAACACCAAUGGCGAAGGCAGCUCGCUGGGACGUGACUGACGCUGAGACGCGAAAGCCAGGGGAGCGAACGGG